UACAGAAUUUGAACAACCUCAAAUAUCAGCCACAAAGAAGCAAGACUCGUACUACACUGCAUAGAAAAUAAUCUAAAAAAACUCACCCAGUUUACACAUAUGCUACCUUGUUUUAUAGUACAAGGUAAUGUUAUAAUAUUAUGAUUAGAAUGUGUGGUUGAUAUCAUCUGCUACAGUACAAUGCGUGGUGGAUAUUUCUGCUAUAUUGUAAUGAACAUACAUUAUAAUAAUGUACUGAGAAAGUGUGGAACUGGUACCUGAGAAGAAAGGGAGCAAGUCAUUUGGAGGCAACAAACUAUUAAGAUUGAGAGCUGUGGCACGAUGUUUAAGAAACUUGGUUAUCAAUCCCAGGGUUGCUUACCUUCUAAUCCUGUAUCACCAGGAUUCUUUUUCUCAUGACCAUUCGACCUGUUUAAGUAUACGUUAAAUGUACUAGUGGUGGAUCCAGGAAUUUGAAAUAUAGGGUGCCCUGAGAAGGGCUUUCACAGAUGGAGGGUAUAUACUACCUCAGUCCCACCAUAGCUGGGGCUCAGGGGCCCCUGGGCCAACUGGGCCUCCUUUGAAUCUUCCACUGUGUGCAAUAGACUGAAAAGUUUUUUUUGAGAUGACCAAUGAGAAAUAUGAUAAAUAUGAUUGAUGACCAACUAGCUGAGAUAGUAUAUAAGGUCAAGCAUUGAUCUCAUGAUUUAUCACAAGUUUUAAGAAACAUUUAUACAAGUCCUCAGGGAACCACAGUACAUACAAGAAUAUCUACCAGA